UGUUCCCUCUAAGCUGCGCGCGUGCGCAAUCGCGCACUGCCCGCACAUUCUCAGCGCACAAGAAAAUCUAUCCAGCGCAUAAACAACAUCAACAUAACGUAUUAAUUCAUAUCUAAUAUUAGACCUAAUCUAAUCUAAUUAAUUCGCCCAAUAAUAUUGUUUUUUUGUUUCUCACUCAGUGAGUGACAGGUGUCCAGCCAAUGAUACGAUACGGUUCACUUACGGUACGAAGCCAAUCAUGGCAUUGACGGUGCUUGCGUCUGGGCCCUGCCUAUAUGCGCCGUGCAGGUUAGCUAGCAGGUUAAUAGAUGCUAAUACAAACCCCGCAUCAUGGCGAAACGAACAGGCAGCGACACAUCCACUCAGCAAGCCACAGUAAAAAAGAAAUGCAGUUCUUUUAAGAUGGAAUGGCUGUCGGAGUAUGUGCAAAUUGAAGAAAAAGCGGUGAAAUUGGGUGAGAUUUUUUCUUUUUCAAGUGAGAAAGGUCUACUCUGCAAAACAUGCAGCGAUGCCAAAGUAGCAAGUGAGUUUUCAGAGGGAAAAAUGUGGACUGAAUGGAAGCUGGACUAUCUCAAGCGUCACGUUCAGCAUAAAAGUCAUUUAAAAGCUGUCGAAACUGUACGAAGACUCAAGAUGGGACAGGGGAUUGGUACAUUAUUGCGGGAGAGCGCAAAAGAGCGAGAGAAAAGGAACGAGCUGUCACACAAAACAAAAUCGGACCCUGAACCAUUGGAGAAGUGAGAAGGACAGACGUGAAAAAUAAGAACAGGACCCUCAGCCAGGCAAAGCAGGACUCUUCCCAUGGCCAAAGCAGGACUCUCACAUACUGUAUAACAUCUACACAUCCCAUUUUUCAGAUUUUUGUCUUUUUUUAAGUGGACCAAAUUACUUAUUUAAAAAUAAAGCGUGCAUAUCUAAUGUUG